GAGCUCGUAGGCGGUUUGUCGCGUCUGCUGUGAAAUCCCGAGGCUCAACCUCGGGUCUGCAGUGGGUACGGGCAGACUAGAGUGCGGUAGGGGAGAUUGGAAUUCCUGGUGUAGCGGUGGAAUGCGCAGAUAUCAGGAGGAACACCGAUGGCGAAGGCAGAUCUCUGGGCCGCUACUGACGCUGAGGAGCGAAAGGGUGGGGAGCAAACAGGCUUAGAUACCCUGGUAGUCCACCCCGUAAACGUUGGGCGCUAGAUGUGGGGACCAUUCCACGGUUUCCGUGUCGUAGCUAACGCAUUAAGCGCCCCGCCUGGGGAGUACGGCCGCAAGGCUAAAACUCAAAGGAAUUGACGGGGGCCCGCACAAGCGGCGGAGCAUGCGGAUUAAUUCGAUGCAACGCGAAGAACCUUACCAAGGCUUGACAUAUACGAGAACGGGCCAGAAAUGGUCAACUCUUUGGACACUCGUAAACAGGUGGUGCAUGGUUGUCGUCAGCUCGUGUCGUGAGAUGUUGGGUUAAGUCCCGCAACGAGCGCAACCCUCGUUCUAUGUUGCCAGCACGUUAUGGUGGGAACUCAUGGGAUACUGCCGGGGUCAACUCGGAGGAAGGUGGGGACGACGUCAAAUCAUCAUGCCCCUUAUGUCUUGGGCUUCACGCAUGCUACAAUGGCCAGUACAAAGGGCUGCAAUACCGUAAGGUGGAGCGAAUCCCAAAAAGCUGGUCCCAGUUCGGAUUGAGGUCUGCAACUCGACCUCAUGAAGUCGGAGUCGCUAGUAAUCGCAGAUCAGCAACGCUGCGGUGAAUACGUUCCCGGGCCUUGUACACACCGCCCGUCAAGUCAUGAAAGUCGGUAACACCCGAAGCCAGUGGCCUAACCGCAAGGAUGGAGCUGUCUAAGGUGGGAUCGGUAAUUAGGACGAAGUCGUA
rnacentral:rRNA from 1 species